AGUGAACGCUGGCGGUAGGCCUAACACAUGCAAGUCGAACGGCAGCACAGUAAGAGCUUGCUCUUACGGGUGGCGAGUGGCGGACGGGUGAAGAAUACAUCGGAAUCUACUUUUUCGUGGGGGAUAACGUAGGGAGACUUACGCUAAUACCGCAUACGACCUACGGGUGAAAGCAGGGGAUCUUCGGACCUUGCGCGAUUGAAUGAGCCGAUGUCGGAUUAGCUAGUUGGCGGGGUAAAGGCCCACCAAGGCGACGAUCCGUAGCUGGUCUGAGAGGAUGAUCAGCCACACUGGAACUGAGACACGGUCCAGACUCCUACGGGAGGCAGCAGUGGGGAAUAUUGGACAAUGGGCGCAAGCCUGAUCCAGCCAUACCGCGUGGGUGAAGAAGGCCUUCGGGUUGUAAAGCCCUUUUGUUGGGAAAGAAAAGCAGCAGGUUAAUACCCCGCUGUUCUGACGGUACCCAAAGAAUAAGCACCGGCUAACUUCGUG
rnacentral:rRNA from 1 species